GCACAAGCAGCGGAGCGUGUGGUUUAAUUCGUUGCUACACGAAGAACCUUACCUGGGUUUGACAUAUAGGUUGUAGGGAACUGAAAAGGGACCGACCCUUCGGGGAGCCUAUACAGGUGUUUGCAUGGCUGUCGUCAGCUCGUGUCGUGAGAUGUUCGGUUAAGUCCGCUAACGAGCGCAACCCUCGUCGUAUGUUAUAUGUGUCAUACGAGACUGCCGGUAAAAAGCCGGAGGAAGGUGAGGAUGAUGUCAAGUCAGCAUGACCUUUAUAUCCAGGGCUACACACACGCUACAAUGGUCUGUACAAUGGGUAGCCAAGCCGCGAGGCGGAGCCAAUCCUGAAAGCAGGCCUCAGUUCAGAUUGCAGUCUGCAACUCGACUGCAUGAAGUUGGAAUCGCUAGUAAUCGCGGAUCAGCAUGCCCGCGGUCGAAUACGUUCCCGGGCCUU
rnacentral:rRNA from 1 species